CAACUCGCCUGCAUGAAGCUGGAAUUGCUAGUAAUCGCGGAUCAGCAAGCCGCGGUGAAUACGUUCCCGGGCCUUGUACACACCGCCCGUCACACCAUGAGAGUCGGGAACACCCGAAGUCCGUAGUCUAACCGCAAGGGGGGCGCGGCCGAAGGUGGGUCCGGUAAUUGGGGUGAAGUCGUAACAAGGUAAC
rnacentral:rRNA from 1 species